GUAAUAUAUCGGAACGUGCCCAGUCGUGGGGGAUAACGUAGCGAAAGUUACGCUAAUACCGCAUACGAUCUAAGGAUGAAAGCGGGGGAACGCAAGACCUCGCGCGAUUGGAGCGGCCGAUAUCAGAUUAGGUAGUUGGUGGGGUAAAGGCUCACCAAGCCAACGAUCUGUAGCUGGUCUGAGAGGACGACCAGCCACACUGGAACUGAGACACGGUCCAGACCCCUACGGGAGGCAGCAGUGGGGAAUUUUGGACGAUGGACGCAAGUCUGAUCCAGCCAUUCCGCGUGCAGGAUGAAGGCCCUCGGGUUGUAAACUGCUUUUGUACGGAACGAAAAGGUCUCUCUUAAUACGAGGGGCUCAUGACGGUACCGUAAGAAUAAGCACCGGCUAACUACGUGCCAGCAGCCGCGGUAAUACGUAGGGUGCAAGCGUUAAUCGGAAUUACUGGGCGUAAAGCGUGCGCAGGCGGUUAUGUAAGACAGAGGUGAAAUCCCCGGGCUCAACCUGGGAACUGCCUUUGUGACUGCAUAGCUAGAGUACGGUAGAGGGGGAUGGAAUUCCGCGUGUAGCAGUGAAAUGCGUAGAUAUGCGGAGGAACACCGAUGGCGAAGGCAAUCCCCUGGACCUGUACUGACGCUCAUGCA
rnacentral:rRNA from 1 species